UAUUCUGCAUUUUCGUUUGUUUCUAGUGGCAAUAGUGCGAUAUUCUUAAGUAGAGUUUAAUUACCUCUGUACAAAUACUGAAAAUGCAGAAUAGUCACUAACUAAAAUCAAGUCAACAUUACGCAAAAUAUUUCGACAGACUUUGAUUUAUAGUCAGCAACUGAGGUAAGUUGCAAACGAUCUGCCAUAUUCUCUGAUUUGGGGAUUUACAGCAUCGCGUAAUAUAAUUUACUGUUUACUGCAGAAGCCAUAUUUCAACGUGAUAUGCAAAUUACGAAGGAAGUAGAAUAAUUCAUGUCCGUAAUUUCUGGCC